ensembl:lincRNA
GAGGGGGCGGCGAUGUGAGAGGCGGAGGGGGCGGCGCGCGCUCGGUACGCGCGCCGGCGACCAUGGCGUUUGCCCCGCUGGAGCGAGUACAUUAGCCCCCGGAGGCGGCGGCUGCGGCGACGAGGGAGCGAAUCUCGAGCGGGCGGGCCCCACUCUGAGGGAAGGGAGGAAGGGGCGGGGAGAGCGCCAGAGGGAGGCCAGUCGGCCGCGGGCGGGCGGGCAGCGCAGCGCCGACGGGGCCCGUGGGCCCAUGAGGAGGCCCGGGGACCAUGGGCUCCAGGAUCAAGCAAAAUCCAGAUACCACAUUUGAAGUGUAUGUUGAAGUGGCCCAUCCUGGGACAGGUGGCACUCUUUCAGAUCCUGAGGUGCAGAGGCAAUUCCCGGAGGACUACAGUGACCAGGUUUUGGUGCUUGUCUUGACAACAAAGUCCUGCAUCCCAGAACAAUGAUUGCUGAUUAAGUGGGUAUGCAAUUGUGACUGAAUAGGCUUUCAAGAUAGUGGGUAAAAAGGUCUAUCAUCUGAAGGCUGAAUUAUAGAAUUUAGAAAAUGUUAUCAGAAGUAUACAUUUAAAUCAAUUUUUUUUUCAUACCCUACCAUUAGGUAAGACAAAGAGUUCUUACAAGUUAAAGAAAAGUAUAGCCACCCACGGUUUAAAAAAAUCCUCCUGUAUAAAUUUUAAUGAUUAGAGUAUUUCAGUAACUCAGAAUAUCAAUUUGCCUUCUUAUGGUUGAACAUUUAAAAAAUAAUUUUUAGACCUUUAGAUACUUUUUGGAAAUCUGAAGUCUACCAGUUAUAUGUGUUAAUAUGGUUACUGGAUGACCAGGGGAAACUUACCAGACAGCCCUUGAAGACAUCUGAAUGUACAGUCAUACCUUGAGGAAAUAGAAACUACAUGAAAUACAUGUUAGAGCUAAAUUAUAGGUCAUACACACAAAUACACCUGUGCACACACACCCCGCCGCCCCCCUCCAUACUUGUGCCACUGAAGUGUUUGCUGAAUUCAUUUAUCUUUUAAAAUUAGAAUGGAUUUUGUGGGGUAACGGGAUGUUGUGGGUAGAGGUGCUAAUUUAGUUCAAAGAUAUUCAAAGAUUGGCAGGAGAGAGAGCUAGCAGCCAGUUCUGUUAGUCCUUUGGUUGUAUUGGUUUAGAGGUUUAAGUUGUCAUUAAAGCGCAAACUAGAGCCACUUCUCUGACACAGUUUUUAUCACAUCUGCUAGGCUUGUGUCCCAAGAGGAGACGUGGAGAGCAGCGAAUUCAGCAUGGGCCCAUUAUCGACUGCUUUUUCGUGUGUUGUAAAAGGAGUGAGACCUCAGGGAGGCUUGGAGCCUCCUCCCGUGUAAUGUCCAAGUCAGAUUUGAAGGACUGGUGGCAGGAAAGCUUUGGCCUUGGGGUGUGAAUUCUGAGAAAUAGAGGCACAAUUAAGUUUAAAAAAUUCAAGGACUUUGAGCUUGAUAAUGAAAGAUUUUUUUCCUAGACUAAUGUGAGCAGAAAAGUUGCCCAUCUGUGCACAUUUUUGUGUGCAUUUAAAAUAUUUAAAAGCUGACAGCUUUUAAUAUGCUUACGAAAUAGUAUUUCUAUCAGUGCUCUUUUUUUUUUCCUUUUUUAAAAAUAGUAUCUUCCGGAGGGCAAGUUGCUUCUUCAGUGAAAUCAUGUUUGCAGUUUUACUGUUGGGACCCUAUUCCUUAUGACUUGUAUCUUCCCCCCUCCCUCCAACCUUUCUCCGUUUUAGAAAUAUUGAUAGCAUAAAUGUUCAGAUUGUAUGCAGGAUUUAAAAUGUUUAACGAAAUGAACAAGACUAAAUCUUUUAUAGAGUAAUAGUGUUAAGCCCCAGGAAUUAUAUUACUGAUGCUACUGAGUGCUGAUUGUAAGAGAUUGUAACCAAAUCAUUUGUUUGUUCUGGAAGUAUUUGAAACAUGUUAAGAAUUUUAUUGAUGUUUAAAAUUGACCUUAUAAAUAUAGUUCUCUCAUUUUCAACUUCUUUGCUGCAAGGUUUAAAGUUAAUAAAAGGAAAACUUGGAAUAGAUGAUGUUAUAUAAUAUUGUAAUUUGGGAACAACUUUGUUUUAAAUAAUUUUUCGAAGAAAGGAAAGGGAACCAAAGGAUAAAAUAACUUUGUAUUUUUGGCUUAGACCUCAAAGGCCAUGAAAAUUUAGACAUAAAUGUAGUUCUAGAAGUGGCUUCUCUGCUAUUUUAACAGUCUACUCUUGUACAUAAUGUCUUUGAUAAUUUAGAUAUAAAGUUUAUAUGAUACAUGUUUGUUAUAGAGCAUGAAUUUCUAUAUUUACUAUAAUUUCAUCUUUGAAUUACAGUAUUGACUGUCUAUAUGGGGUAUUAUGCAAAUUAGUAUAAUAGCAUUUACAUUACUCAACUUUUUAAAAAAGUUUAUAAAAAAUAAACUGGGAGUAAAAUAAAAUACUGAUGAUUAAAGAAAAGAAUCAGGUCCAGUAGCAUUUGAAGCAGUGUUGUUAGAAAUUUGACCUGGCUUUUAUGUUUGGGAGUUGAAAGCCCUUUCUCUAAAAUCCCUUUUCAAAGCUUCUUUUUUUCACUGAGA